GCUUUGUUAAACAAGUGCUUGAAGGCAGUAUGCUUGGUAAAAGUCAUCGCCAUUCUCUAAUCUUGAGUACCCAGGGACACGAUACACUGCGGAAGGCUGCAGGGACCUCUGCCCAGGAAAGCCAGGAUCCAGUAUCUGCCGGAGGAGCCCCACCUUCUGCUACUAUUAUGUUCUUCAGAUGAGUAGAAGAGAGUGGGGAGGGAGAGAGCAGGAAGAAGAAAGGAAGAAUAAUGUCUUGAAAUUGAUGAUGCAUAUCAUAAAUUAUUACUCACCCCAUGUUCCCACCCUCGAGAGACCUCCAAACAAUCACCAUGCCACAGUGAACAUUCAGUAACAAAAAUUCAGCCAGGGUUUUCACCAGCAUGAAUGGCAGUGAUUCCAAUCAGGAAAACAGAAAGAGGAGAGUUCAGAGCCACCUAGAAUGGCUCUUGCAAGAUACGAAAUCAAGGCAGCAGCAACAGGGCUGAACAUUCCUCAUCCCUAACUCUCCCUUCACCAGUAGGAAACCCAGGAUAACUGCAAUCACCGCAGGCCCAUCUGGCCUGAAGUUCUACUACUAGUAGCCCUCCAUGGGACCUUCUUAAGGAAGCAUGUCAACUCAGGUAAGGGAUGUAAGGGGAUGGAUGACCCUUUGAGGCCAAAGUUGGAGCAAAAAACACCAGAUGUUCCUGUGCACUGCUCCUAAGAGAUGGUUCUGAAGACCAGUUCGGGGAGAGGUCAAAAUACUGGACAGAAUCUCAGCAACAUGGAACCUCAAACUAAGUGACAGUCACAGACAACUCUUCCCCAAAGAAAAUAAGCACAGACAUGGUUUGUGGUAAGCAGAAUUAUAAAGAUGAAUUCCCAUCUCCCUGUCAGAUUACCAGUAUGGUAAAUUACCAGAUUACCUGGUUAUUUAUUCAAACACUAAUACAGUUAUUGCCUUGAUGGAAACAUACAGAUACAAUUAAAAUCCCAAGUACCAAAUAAAUUGACCUUAAGACAAAGACUAAGUAAAUCACAUGAGCCCUCUACAAGCAGAGAGUUUUUCUCCAGCUGGUAGCAGAAGCCAGAGAUUUGAAGCAUAGGAAGUAUUCAACACAUUAUUGCUGGCCUGAAAAUGGAAGGGGCCACAUAACGAGGGAAACCGGUGGCCUCUAGAAGCAGGGAGCAGUCCCCUGCUGACAGACAGCAAGCCAAGACCUCAGUUCUACAAUUGCAAGACACUCAAUUCUGCUAAGGACAAAAAUGAGCUUGGAAGUGAACUCUGAGCUUCAGGUGAGAACACGGCCAAACAACACCUUGAUUUCAGCUUAAACAAAGAAUGCAGCCACUCCAUGCCAGAAUUCUGACCUGUAGAAAUUUGAGCUAAUAAAUAGAUGUUUUAAUAGCUUCAUCGA
rnacentral:lncRNA from 1 species